UUUAAUGAGAGUUUGAUCCUGGCUCAGGACGAACGCUGGCGGCGUGCCUAAUACAUGCAAGUAGAACGCUGAAGAGAGGAGCUUGCUCUUCUUGGAAGAGUUGCGAACGGGUGAGUAACGCGUAGGUAACCUGCCUUGUAGCGGGGGAUAACUAUUGGAAACGAUAGCUAAUACCGCAUAACAAUGGGUGACCCAUGUCAUUCAUUUGAAAGGGGCAACUGCUCCACUACAAGAUGGACCUGCGUUGUAUUAGCUAGUAGGUGAGGUAACGGCUCACCUAGGCGACGAUACAUAGCCGACCUGAGAGGGUGAUCGGCCACACUGGGACUGAGACA
rnacentral:rRNA from 1 species